rnacentral:rRNA from 1 species
GGCGGUUUCUUAAGUCUGAUGUGAAAGCCCCCGGCUCAACCGGGGAGGGUCAUUGAAAACUGGGAGACUUGAGUGCAGAAAAGGAAAGUGGAAUUCCAUGGGUACCGGGGAAUUGCUUAAAUUUAUGGAGGAACCCCAUUGGCAAAGGCGGUUCUCUGGUCUGUAACUGACCCUAAGGCUCAAAAGCGGGGGAAGCAAACAGGAUUAAAUACCCUGGAAUCCCACGCCUUAAACAAUGAUUGCUAAUGGUUGGAGGGUUUCCCCCCUUCGUUGCUGCAUCAAACGCAUUAAGCCCUCCGCCUGGGGAGUACGACCGCAAGGUUGAAACUCAAAGGAAUUGACGGGGGCCCGCACAAGCGGUGGAGCAUGUGGUUUAAUUCGAAGCAACGCGAAAAACCUUACCAGGUCUUGACAUCCUUUGACCACUCU